rnacentral:rRNA from 1 species
AAUGAACGCUGGCGGCGCGCCUAAUACAUGCAAGUCGAGCGAGAAGACGUAGCAAUACGUUUGUAAAGCGGCGAACGGGUGAGGAAUACAUGGGUAACCUACCCUCGAGUGGGGAAUAACUAGCCGAAAGGUUAGCUAAUACCGCGUACGCUUCUUGGACUUCGGUUCAGGGAGGAAAGCGAUGCCGAGGGUAUCGCGCUCUUGGAUGGGCUCAUGUCCUAUCAGCUUGNGGUGAGGUAACGGCUCACCAAGGCUUCGACGGGUAGCUGGUCUGAGAGGACGAUCAGCCACACUGGCACUGCGACACGGGCCAGACUCCUACGGGAGGCAGCAGUAAGGAAUAUUGCGCAAUGGGCGAAAGCCUGACGCAGCGACGCCGC